CGAUGUCUAGCAGUGCCA
rnacentral:siRNA from 1 species